rnacentral:rRNA from 1 species
CGCCUCUUGCAUCCCCCAUAUAAGAGGUCCCGCCUGCCCUGUGACCAAAAGUUUAACGGCCGCGGUAUUUUGACCGUGCGAAGGUAGCGUAAUCACUUGUCUUUUAAAUGGAGACCGGUAUGAAUGGCAUAACGAGGGCUAAGCUGUCUCCUUUUUCCAGUCAAUGAAAUUGAUCUUCCCGUGCAGAAGCGGGUAUAAAAACAUAAGACGAGAAGACCCUAUGGAGCUUCAGACACCAGAACAGCCCACGUCAAUACCCUUCAAACUAAGAAGACAAACUAAAAGGACCCCUGUUCCCCUGUCUUUGGUUGGGGCGACCGCGGGGCAACAAAAAUCCCCCACGUGGAACGGGACCUUACUCCCUAAAACCAGAGCCACAGCUCUAAUAAACAGAAUUUCUGACCAUAAGAUCCGGCAAUGCCGAUCAACGGACCGAGUUACCCUAGGGAUAACAGCGCAAUCCUCUUUUAGAGCCCAUAUCGACAAGAGGGUUUACGACCUCGAUGUUGGAUCAGGACAUCCUAAUGGUGCAGCCGCUAUUAAGGGUUCGUUUGUUCAACGAUUAAAGUCCU